UACUGAACCUCUGAAUGUGGCUGUAGCUGACAGGUUCCACACGGGACUAGAACAAGAGGGCUUCGUUUCUGUUCUCCUCCGGAUCUGGAGGGGCUGCUUGUGAAAGCAUUGGUGUCACUUGUUAAAAACGCUCAACAAGAGAAACGCGCGAUUGGCAAAAGAGCUGAUCAAGUUGCGGGAGCUCGUGUUUGCAGUUACAAAUGCUCGAGCUGAGAUGAGAUGAGCCUUCAGCGCGCGACAAGGAGAGAUGAUGAUUGUUAGAGAGCUGCUGCGCGUCUGCGCCUUUUGCUUGAAGUGUCAAAGCUGAGCCGGAGCUGCUGCAGCGAGACAGGCAGGCGAGCAGGCGGGCAGGGCUGGGGCUUCUGCCGCCGCCGCCGCCGCCGCCGCCGCUGACACGGUGAAACGGUGCCUGAGCUGCUGAUUGACAACGCUUUGGCUGGAUCCUGACACGGAAGCUUGUAAAGGAGCAGAUAAAGCGUCGACUUCCAGGGGAGGGAGAGAAAAACACGACAAACCUUUGCUUGUAAGCGCGCUGACUCGCAGAGCAGCAGCAAAGCCCAACUUUUCCCCCAGCGCCGCUAGCACCGCCAACUAGCGAGCUAAUUUACAGCGGAAAACGGCCAAAUGGGGUCGUGACUUAUUCAUGCUUUACGCUACGACAUCAUGAUUAUUCACUCUGUUCACCUCUGAACACCCAGCACUGCCUUGCCUCGUGUCUCCCAGUCUCUCUCUCUUUUCUCUCUCUCUCUCUCUCUCUCUCUCUCUCUCUCUCUCUCUGCAUAACCUGCUCUGUUAGCCUUCAUCCCAAGGACUCCAAGCAAAAAGGACAACGGCGUGUUGUAAACACUCAGCACACAGACCGCAACCCCCCCAAAACAGCCCGGACUCAUCAUAACCGAGCGUUCAACCUACCUUUAAGGCGAGGAACUGAGUAAAAAAGCGACAACUUUGCUCAUGACACUUCCAUUACUGCUCCAUUUAGUCGCCCAUCCAUUACACUGUCGCCAUUUUGCCUAAAAUCCUGCAGGUUGGACUAUAACUCGGAGAGGGGUGUCUGCUCGGUGGGCUUCGAAAUCGCAGCACCUUCUCAAGGCGACCUCGAAGGGUUUCAGUCUUGUAAACUUACAGGAAGGACACGCUGUUCGCUCUUGUCUGACUAGCUAAUACAGUCUUUCUGUCAUUUAUAGAGGUGGUCUUACGUGUCUAAGGGUGGACCCCUGCUCGGACUGUGGAUUAUUCCGAAAACAAGCGGUUAUAAAAUUCUAGGGUGAAGUUGCUGUGGCUCGAAAAAUGUCUUGGCUGGUGGGCAGAGAGUGUGAGAGGGCACAGUGACCUGCUCAGGGCAGUCCAGAAGACCUCAGUAGCUUAACAUUUGAUGCGGCCAGAAAUGGGUCUUCUGUGGAUUAUUUCAAAAUGAGGUCGUCAAAUUCUUGGCUGAGGUGGCUGUCAUCAGAUUGGAAAUCUAGUCUGUGGCUAAGAAGUCCUAAUAAAACUGCGAGGAGUCUGCUGAGUCACUGAUGUUCUGGUUUGGUGACCCUGCACCGAGGACACUGCAACUUUGCAACAUUCCACAUACAGCAUUAAACUCUUCGCACAUCUGGUUACUAGCAAUACCUCUGAAAACAACUGACUUGAUAGGUCUCCCCCAUUAUGCAUGAUGCGCCAAUUUGGGAGGGUGAAGGCUAGCACGUGCUCCCUCUGGGUGACCUUGAAGUGCUACAGGUCCCUUCUACAGUGGGCCAGAGAACACUUACAGAUACUUCAUCCCCUCCACCUCUCCAAAACUGCUGUCCACUAAAUAUGAACUAUUACUUGUAUAAAUAAACUGAUUUAUAUUGCUGAA